AAUCACCUGGUGCGUGCGAUAACCCCGUUAUUUUGAACCUACAUUUACUUUAAAAAGGGAUACCUAUAUCAGCGUAUUUGAUUUCAGGCCUCCUUUGAAGUGGAAGAUUGAGAGUAUGUUUGCGGUUUUAACCCACCUAGCUUUGCUAGGAGUCAAAAUACGGGAACGGCGCUCUGGGUGGUUU
rnacentral:other from 1 species